rnacentral:rRNA from 1 species
GCAAGUCGAACGCUAUAUUAUCUUCGGAUAAUGGAAAGUGGCGGACGGGUGAGUAACGCGUAGUAACCUGCCCAAAGGUACGGAAUAACUCAGGGAAACUUGAGCUAAUACCGUAUAUUCCCUACGGGGGAAAGAUUUAUCGCCUUUGGAUGGGCCUGCGUUGGAUUAGCUAGUUGGUAAGGUAACGGCUUACCAAGGCGACGAUCCAUAGCUGGUCUGAGAGGAUGAUC